AUGCUGCCUGCUUCUUUCCAAUGUCAUCUGAAAGUGAGAACUGGCGUUCCCAUGGCACUGUUGUAGCUGGCGUCACAAGAUAUUUACAUGCCAGAUGAGCUAAAGAUUCGUAUGGAGAGAAGCUGGGGGCAGGGUUUAGGCAGCAGAAGGAAAAUGGGAGGUGGGUCUUUCAGGUCCAGGAAAGGCUACAUCGUUCCUAUUUGAAGAUUAAGAAGAACCCUUCCUCCUCCCACCCCUCUCUGCCUACCACUGAGGAGACAGAACCCAGCACCAAUCUGGCAGCAGGACACCCGAAAUGUCAGGUGCCUACAACAAUUUGCCCUGAAGCUCACCUAACCAGACUAUGAGAGAAAUCCCUGCUGGCACCUGUUAUGUCUACCCUGCUCUUUACAGCAAGUCAAAGGAAGAUAUUUGAGGACUUUCAGUAGCUAGAAUACACAAGUAUGUGUAUUUAGAGCAUCUCUAUGAAGAAAGUUAGAUAUUCCUUUAUGCAGCCAACAUAACAGUGCAGAAGUCACAAGGCUGAAGGCCACAAGUGAGCAGGAGCUCUGAAAACUGCAGAACAGUGCAGGAAAGCCAGCAGACUCUUCUGAAGGAAAUAAAAUGGACUCUGUAUCUCAAAACAUGGAUUUUGGCUGCAAAUUCCAAUUAAGCUUGAAUUCAGCGAAGCUUGUCAAUAAACAAAUGCCUGAAAUGAGAACACAUUCUGAAAAGAGCAAAGUCAUAGUGAGCAAGAUUAGACAUGCAAGUGCCUAUUUUUGUCAGAGGAAC